UGGUAUGAGAUGGACCCGCGUCUGAUUAGCUGGUUGGAGGGGUAACGGCCCACCAAGGCGACGAUCAGUAGCCGGCCUGAGAGGGUGAACGCCCACAUUGGGACUGAGACACGGACCAGACUCCUACGGGAGGCAGCAGUGGGGAAUAUUGCACAAUGGGGGAAACCCUGAUGCAGCGACGCCGCGUGAAGGAAGAAGUAUCUCGGUAUGUAAACUUCUAUCAGCAGGGAAGAAAAUGACGGUACCUGACUAAGAAGCCCCGGCUAACUACGUGCCAGCAGCCGCGGUAAUACGUAGGGGGCAAGCGUUAUCCGGAUUUACUGGGUGUAAAGGGAGCGUAGACGGAAGAGCAAGUCUGAUGUGAAAGGCUGGGGCUUAACCCCAGGACUGCAUUGGAAACUGUUUUUCUAGAGUGCCGGAGAGGUAAGCGGAAUUCCUAGUGUAGCGGUGAAAUGCGUAGAUAUUAGGAGGAACACCAGUGGCGAAGGCGGCUUACUGGACGGUAACUGACGUUGAGGCUCGAAAGCGUGGGGAGCAAACAGGAUUAGA
rnacentral:rRNA from 1 species